rnacentral:rRNA from 1 species
GUCGCUACUACCGAUUGAAUGGCUUAGUGAGCUCUCUGGACUGUUGCACGCUGUUGGAAACUUCGGUGCGCAUACGGGAAGGAGAUCAAACUUGAUCAUUUAGAGGAAGUAA